UACGAAGGGGCUGAGCAGUGCUUCGGAAUUACUGGGCGUAAAGCGCGUGUAGGCUGCUUCGCAAGUCGGAUGUGAAAGCCCUGGGCUCAACCCAGGAAGUGCAUUCGAAACUGCAGAGCUGGAGUCCUGGAGAGGAAGGCGGAAUUCUCGGUGUAGAGGUGAAAUUCGUAGAUAUCGAGAGGAACACCGGUGGCGAAGGCGGCCUUCUGGACAGUGACUGACGUGAGACGCGAAAGCGUGGGGAGCAAACAG
rnacentral:rRNA from 1 species